rnacentral:rRNA from 1 species
AACACGUAGGAAUGUACCCCAGACUGAGGGAUAAGCACCGGAAACGGUGUCUAAUACCGCAUAACCUCUUCGGAGAAAAGCUUCGGCGGUUUGGGAACAGCCUGCGCAUGAUUAGCUUGUUGGUGAGGUAAUGGCUCACCAAGGCGAUGAUCAUUAGCUGGUCUGAGAGGAUGAUCAGCCAGACUGGGACUGAGACACGGCCCAGACCCCUACGGGGGGCAGCAACUAGGAAUCUUCCACAAUGGACGAAAGUCUGAUGGAGCAACGCCGCGUGCAGGAUGAAGGCUUUCGGGUCGUAAACUGCUUUUUUCUGUGAAGAUUAUGACGGUAGCAGACGAAUAAGGAUCGGCUAACUCCGUGCCAGCAGCCGCGGUCAUACGGAGGAUCCAAGCGUUAUCCGGAAUUACUGGGCGUAAAGAGUUGCGUAGGCGGUUAAGUAAGCGGUGUGUGAAAUGACAGGGCUCAACCCUGUGUCCAUACACUGAACUGCUUUGACUAGAGAAUGGGAGAGGUCGCUGGAAUUCCUGGUGUAGGGGUAAAAUCCGUAGAUAUCAGGAGG